AUAUUACAAGGUUUCCACUACACAUGUAAGAAAAAGAAGGUCCUCGAGCAUUCUGUCUGUCUAGUUGUGGCAGUCGAGAUUGAAUGGGGGAAUACAUGA
rnacentral:snoRNA from 1 species